rnacentral:rRNA from 1 species
UGCAGUCGAGCGGACUCUUUCGGGAGUCAGCGGCGGACGGGUGAGUAACACGUGGGUAACCUACCAACAAGACCGGUAUAACGCCUGGAAACGGGUGCUAAUCCCGGAUAGUCUCUUUCGUUGCAUGAGGGAAGAGGGAAAGGCGCCUUGGCGCUACUUGAUGAUGGGCCCGCGGCGCAUUAGCUAGUUGGUGAGGUAAAGGCCCACCAAGGCGACGAUGCGUAGCCGACCUGAGAGGGUGAUCGGCCACACUGGGACUGAGACACGGCCCAGACUCCUACGGGAGGCAGCAGUAGGGAAUCUUCCGCAAUGGGCGAAAGCCUGACGGAGCAACGCCGUGUGAGUGAAGACGGUCUUCGGAUUGUAAAGCUCUGUCAUUCGGGGAGAGCGACAAGGAGAGGGAAUGCUCUUUGUGAGACGGUACCGAAGGAGGAAGCCCCGGCUAACUACGUGCCAGCAGCCGCGGUAAUACGUAGGGGGCGAGCGUUGUCCGGAAUGACUGGGCGUAAAGCGCGCGCAGGCGGUUUUCUUGCGUCUGAGGUGAAAGACGAUGGCUCA